AUUGAACGCUGGCGGCGUGCUUUACACAUGCAAGUCGAACGGCAGCAUGGUUACUUUCGGGUAACUGAUGGCAAGUGGCGGACGGGUGAGUAAUGCAUCGGGACAUGCCUUUUGUUGGGGGAUAACUGAUCGAAAGAUUGGCUAAUACCGCAUAACACUCUGAGGAGGAAAGCUGGGGACCUUUGCGGGCCUGGCGACAGAAGAUUGACCGAUGUCCGAUUAGCUAGUUGGUGGGGUAAAGGCUUACCAAGGCGAUGAUCGGUAGCUGUUCUGAGAGGAAGAUCAGCCACACUGGGACUGAGACACGGCCCAGACUCCUACGGGAGGCAGCAGUGGGGAAUUUUGGACAAUGGGGGAACCCUGAUCCAGCAACGCC
rnacentral:rRNA from 1 species